rnacentral:rRNA from 1 species
AUUGAACGCUGGCGGCAUGCCUUACACAUGCAAGUCGAACGGCAGCGGACCUUCGGGUGCCGGCGAGUGGCGAACGGGUGAGUAAUAUAUCGGAACGUACCUUUCAGUGGGGGAUAACGUAGCGAAAGUUACGCUAAUACCGCAUAUUCUGUGAGCAGGAAAGCAGGGGAUCGCAAGACCUUGCGCUGAUUGAGCGGCCGAUAUCAGAUUAGCUAGCUGGUGAGGUAAAGGCUCACCAAGGCGACGAUCUGUAGCGGGUCCGAGAGGAUGAUCCGCCACACUGGAACUGAGACACGGUCCAGACUCCUACGGGAGGCAGCAGUGGGGAAUUUUGGACAAUGGGCGCAAGCCUGAUCCAGCCAUGCCGCGUGAGUGAAGAAGGCCUCGG